AUUGAACGCUGGCGGCAGGCCUAACACAUGCAAGUCGAGCGAGCGGCGGACGGGUGAGUAAUGUAUGGGGACUGCCCGAAAGAGGGGGAUAACUACUGGAAACGGUGGCUAAUACCGCUUACUAUCGGAUAACCCAUAUGGGAUUAGCUAGUAGGUGGGGUAAAGGCUCACCUAGGCGACGAUCUCUAGCUGGUCUGAGAGGCUGAUCAGCCACACUGGGACUGAGACACGGCCCAGACUCCUACGGAGGCAGCAGUAGGGAAUAUUGGACAAUGGGCGAAAGCCUGAUACAGCCAUGCCGCGUGUAUGAAGAAGGCCGUCGGAUUGUAAAGUACUGUCAGCAGGGAGGCGUUACCCGCAGAAAAAGCAACGGCUAACUCCGUGCCAGCAGCCGCGGUAAUUC
rnacentral:rRNA from 1 species